GGAUGAACGCUGGCGGCGUGCCUAACACAUGCAAGUCGAACGGAGAUUACGGACGGAAGUUUUCGGAUGGAAGACUGUAAUUCUUAGUGGCGGACGGGUGAGUAACGCGUGGGCAACCUGCCCUAUACAGGGGGAUAGCAGCUGGAAACGGCUGGUAAGACCGCAUAAGUCGGCGAGACCGCAUGGUUUUGCCGGGAAAUGAGCAAUCAGGUAUAGGAUGGGCCCGCGUCCGAUUAGCCAGUUGGCAGGGUAAAAGCCUACCAAAGCAACGAUCGGUAGCCGGACUGAGAGGUCGGACGGCCACAUUGGGACUGAGACACGGCCCAAACUCCUACGGGAGGCAGCAGUGGGGGAUAUUGCACAAUGGAGGAAACUCUGAUGCAGCGACGCCGCGUGAGUGAAGAAGUAUUUCGGUAUGUAAAGCUCUAUCAGCAGGGAAGAUGAUGACGGUACCUGACUAAGAAGCCCCGGCUAACUACGUG
rnacentral:rRNA from 1 species